rnacentral:rRNA from 1 species
UGGGGAAUAUUGCACAAUGGGCGAAAGCCUGAUGCAGCAACGCCGCGUGAGUGAUGAAGGUCUUCGGAUUGUAAAGCUCUGUCUUUUGGGACGAUAAUGACGGUACCAAAGGAGGAAGCCACGGCUAACUACGUGCCAGCAGCCGCGGUAAUACGUAGGUGGCGAGCGUUGUCCGGAUUUACUGGGCGUAAAGGGUGCGUAGGCGGAUGUUUAAGUGAGAUGUGAAAUACCCGGGCUUAACUUGGGUGCUGCAUUUCAAACUGGAUAUCUAGAGUGCAGGAGAGGAGAAUGGAAUUCCUAGUGUAGCGGUGAAAUGCGUAGAGAUUAGGAAGAACACCAGUGGCGAAGGCGAUUCUCUGGACUGUAACUGACGCUGAGGCACGAAAGCGUGGGUAGCAAACAGGAUUAGAUACCCUGGUAGUCCACGCCGUAAACGAUGAGUACUAGGUGUAGGAGGUAUCGACCCCUUCUGUGCCGCAGUAAACACAUUAAGUACUCCGCCUGGGAAGUACGAUCGCAAGAUUAAGC